rnacentral:lncRNA from 1 species
GCACUGCAGACUGUGUAAGAGACAUCUCAGCCAGCAUUUGGAUUAAGUCAAGCCCCAGGAAUCCGCACCUCCUCCACCUCAUCACCCAAUAAAAAAGGUACACAUGCUGGCUCGCCCAGGCCCUACUCAUGUUUCGGCACAACGACCCUGCUCUGCCUCCGUCCCCAAGACCCUGGGCUGUGCAACCAGGGCCAGACCUGCUUCUUCAGCCGCACCAGGGCCUGGCUGUGACUCUGCCUGUCAGUGGCCAAGCCCUGAGCCUGGAGCCAUCCAGAGCCGCAUGGAACCCACAGCCUGCAGGGUGGGGCUAGACAUGGCUCCUCCUGCCCGCCCGUGGGUCGUACACCACCUCAUUAGAGCCAAAGCAGCAUCGAUUUUGUGAAUGAUGAGCAUGUGUACGUGUUUUUGGAGCCCUGGUGUGAUUUGGCGUGUGCAGCUGAUGAUUCAGGGGGGUCAUGUGCAAACAACACGCCUUAUAAAUGUGAACCCACCAGAACGCCCCGUUACGGAGAUUUACACCGAUCCUUAAACAUCGUAGAUUAAUUUUUGGAAAACAUCUAUAAAAUAAGAGAUUUAUACCUAAAACAAUACCCUAUGCUGUGACAG